AAUCGUCUAUUGUGCAGUGGUAU
rnacentral:siRNA from 1 species